rnacentral:lncRNA from 1 species
GCUGGUCUCGAACUACUGACCUCGUGAUCCACCCACCUUGGCCUCCUAAAGUGCUGAGAUUACAGGUGUGGGAAGGUGUCUUUUAAAUUAUAGUGCAUAUAGUUAUAACUAACAGCUGUGAAUUCAGAGCUGUAAAAAUAAAGCAAAGAAACCACAUUGUGUUUGAGUCAGCAAUCUUUAGGUCUCUACUAAGUUAUCCUAAAUAUAAUCCUAUGUUAGUCCCUAAACAUACUUAGUCCCUAUAUUCUAAAUAUAAUCCUACUUCCUAAAGAAAAUCAUGCUUUCCCCUAAUUCUCUGUUAUCUAGAUGUUGCUUUGGUUAAAGGAAGAACACAAAUAUCCUGCCAAAAGGUAUUCUGUUCAGUGCAAAAGAAACAGUCCCACAUCCUGCUCUCUCCCACAACACACUAUGCAUUCAGGCUUAUUAUAUUUUACAUGUCCUAUGCUUACAAUUCAUUCAGAUGGAGUCUCACUCUGUCACCCAGCCUGGAG